AGCAGCCGCGGUAAUUCCAGCUCCAAUAGCGUAUAUUAAAGUUGUUGCAGUUAAAGAGCUCGUAGUUGAAUUUCGGGGUUAGUAGGUUGGUCAUGCCUCCGGUAUGUACUGGUCUCACUGAUUCCUCCUUCCUGAUGAACCGUAAUGCCAUUAAUUUGGUGUUGCGGGGAAUUUGGACUGUUACUUUGAAAAAUUAGAGUGUUUAAAGCAAGCUAACGCUUGAAUACAUUAGCAUGGAAUAAUGAAAUAGGACGUUCGAUCCUAUUUUGUUGGUUUCUAGGAUUGACGUAAUGAUUAAUAGGGAUAGUUGGGGGCAUUAGUAUUCAAUUGUCAGAGGUGAAAUUCUUGGAUUUAUUGAAGACUAACUACUGCGAAAGCAUUUGCCAAGGAUGUUUUCAUUAAUCAAGAACGAAAGUUAAGGGGAUCGAAGACGAUCAGAUACCGUCGUAGUCUUAACCAUAAACUAUAGCCGACUAGGGAUCGGAUGAUGUUAAUUUUUAAUGACUCAUUCGGCGCCUUA
rnacentral:rRNA from 1 species